GACGAACGCUGGCGGCGUGCCUAAUACAUGCAAGUUGAGCGAUGAAGAUUGGUGCUUGCACCAAUUUGAAGAGCAGCGAACGGGUGAGUAACGCGUGGGGAAUCUGCCUUUGAGCGGGGGACAACAUUUGGAAACGAAUGCUAAUACCGCAUAAUAACUUUAAACAUAAGUUUUAAGUUUGAAAGAUGCAAUUGCAUCACUCAAAGAUGAUCCCGCGUUGUAUUAGCUAGUUGGUGAGGUAAAGGCUCACCAAGGCGAUGAUACAUAGCCGACCUGAGAGGGUGAUCGGCCACAUUGGGACUGAGACACGGCCCAAACUCCUACGGGAGGCAGCAGUAGGGAAUCUUCGGCAAUGGACGCAAGUCUGACCGGGCAACGCCGCGUGAGUGAAGAAGGUUUUCGGAUCGUAAAACUCUGUUGGUAGAGAAGAACGUUGGUGAGAGUGGAAAGCUCAUCAAGUGACGGUAACUACCCAGAAAGGGACGGCUAACUACGUG
rnacentral:rRNA from 1 species